rnacentral:rRNA from 1 species
UACGGAGGAUCCAAGCGUUAUCCGGAUUUAUUGGGUUUAAAGGGUGCGCAGGCGGAAGAUUAAGUCGGCGGUGAAAUUUUGCAGCUCAACUGUAAAAGUGCCAUCGAUACUGGUUUUCUUGAGUGUGGAUGAAGUAGGCGGAAUUUGUGGUGUAGCGGUGAAAUGCGUAGAUAUCACGAGGAACUCCGAUUGCGCAGGCAGCUUACUAAACCACUACUGACGCUCAGGCACGAAGGCGUGGGGAUCAAACAGGAUUAGAUACCCCGGUA